GAUAAUGCUUCCUCCGAUUGAUGUGCUGUCAGUUGAAGUCGGAACGAUGAGAGAUGAAGAUGCCGCGCCAGAACAUCAGCGGCUCCAUCAGUGAGGGUUUGGGCCAAAUUAGCAGUCGCGGUCAAACCAAAAUAAUCUACCAUUGCACAAGCCACUCAUAAGAUGGUGCAGUCUCGGGCGCAGUCGAGCAUCGAUUUUAUGGUGGUUUCAAGCGAACGACCGUCAACUG
rnacentral:lncRNA from 1 species